UGGUUAGACUCUGCUUGCCCCAGUUUAACUGUUGAUGUGACACUGAUCUUCAAAAACGUCCAGUGGAAUCAUGAAUCACCAUCAGAUCUUUACCGUCUUCCUCCUGAUGACAGUGCUGCUGUCCUCCACUCUGGCUAAUAAUGGCAAUGGACCAGACGAGUGCUGUUUUGGAUACUAUCCUGGAGAACUGAGCAUAGACCUAAUAGCUGGAUAUGAAGAGACCAGAGGGGACUGCAGUAAACCUGGAAUUAUACUUUAUACCACAAUUGGCAAAGAACUGUGUGUCAAUCCCCGCUCUCACUGGGUUCAGCACGUCAAGAAGGAGCUGGAUCAGCGCCUCAAUCAGUAAUGCCUCCAGUCUGACUGGCAAAACAUGAAGAACAAUUAUCUUUAUUUCAUUUUAGAUUCUAAUUUGAUUCUCCAUUAACAUUAUUUCCUGACAUCUUCCAAAUCAUGUAAACUUUUAUUACAUUUUAAGUUAAAUUUUAGUUUAAUUAGUUAAUUUUUUUUUACAGUUUUUUUUAUUUUAAUUGCACAAAUAAAAUGUGUGCGAUCACUGGUUUGA